CCUACGGGAGGCAGCAGUGGGGAAUAUUGCACAAUGGGGGAAACCCUGAUGCAGCGACGCCGCGUGAGUGAAGAAGUAUUUCGGUACGUAAAGCUCUAUCAGCAGGGAAGAAAAUGACGGUACCUGACUAAGAAGCCCCGGCUAACUACGUGCCAGCAGCCGCGGUAAUACGUAGGGGGCAAGCGUUAUCCGGAUUUACUGGGUGUAAAGGGAGCGUAGACGGCAGCGCAAGUCUGGAGUGAAAUCCCAUGGCUUAACCCUGGAACUGCUUUGGAAACUGUGCAGCUAGAGUGCAGGAGAGGUAAGCGGAAUUCCUCGUGUAGCGGUGAAAUGCGUAGAUAUUAGGAGGAACACCAGUGGCGAAGGCGGCUUACUGGACUGUAACUGACGUUGAUGCUCGAAAGCGUGGGGAGCAAACAGGAUUAGAUACCCCAGUAGUC
rnacentral:rRNA from 1 species